rnacentral:lncRNA from 7 species
AGAGAUGCAGUACAGCAGCACAAAGCACAGUGCUGUGAUUUCAGCAUCCCGGGGUAUUUCUACAUGGGAGCAGAAGGAGGCUCUGCACAAUGGGAACAGCUAUGGUCUCAGCCUUUGGCUUAGUGCCUGCCGGCUGGGUUUUGUAGCUGUAACUUCAGAGAGCAAAGCAGAGGUAGUUUAAUAGAAAUAUCUGAGUCCAGGUGCUUCUAGCUGAGCCUGGUGUGUAGGAUGAGCCAAUCACUGCCUCCUCCAGCCUGCAGCUCUUGAGUGAAGGUAUUUGUACACGAGUGACUCAAAAUAGGCAGGCAGGAUGUCUUUCUUGGGGCAGUGAGAUCACUUGUACAGCAGUUUGGACACAGGUGGUGCUGUGUGGAGCCAGGAAUUGGACUUGAUGAUUCUUAUGGGUCCCUUCCAACUCAGGAUGAGUUAUGAUUCUGUGAUACAAGCUGACAGCAUUAAAAAAGGAGCGACCAUGCCCGUCUCUCGUGGGGAAGGAAAAAAUGGUUGAAAAGAGUGCCUGUUGUGGAAAGAGCAGGAUUUAUUAUGCUUUACUGCUUAUUCUGAUAGCGGACCAGCAGCAUCUUCAAAGGCCUGUUCUUUGGAGGAGGAAGAAGGAGACAUGCCCCAUAAUUCAGCCACCAAUACAUCUACAUUAGAAGAUCAAUAGCAUGAUUGCUCUGUAUCUUGCCCCUCCUCACCCCCCAAAGCCUUUUUCCCCUCUCUAAUCGCUGUGCAUAACAUUUCUAACUUCCACACUGCAGCUCCCUGUGGAGCUUUGCCUGGAUGCACAAACCAAAGCUGUGCUGAAGCAGCAUGCAGGGAGUCCCUAGCGUGGGGAGCCCUGGAGGUGAGCCCCACGUGCUUGGUCAGAGGUGGCGAAAGGAAACCAUCCGGAACUGUCACUCAUGUUGAGGAUGCAACCCUUCGGCAGCUGCAGAAUAUUGGUUUCCAUGGCUAUUGGAGUUAAAACCUUGCACCGGUGCGGGUGUUGCUAGUGCUCAGUGCACCUUGUCUGCUGCAGCAUGUGUGAGGGAAGCAGCCACGCUGCCUUGCAGCCUCAGGCACCUCCUCGUGAGGCACAGAUGCUCCAGUUCCAGCUGUGUUUGUGCUGGAUGAGCUUAAUUGCAUGUGCUGAAUUGAGCAGACCAGUAAAAGCGCAGCUCAAACUGGUUCGAGAGCACUUAUGCUAGGAAGCUGGAAAUAAAUCAAUUUUGUUAUAUGCUAAGGAAACUUGUCUCCAAGUGGAAAGACUUCAUAGCGAUGCCGUUACUGGGAACAUCAGCCUUCAGUGCUUACAGAGGAACAGGGUUCAGUCGCUCCAUCUUACCUAGAAUAACAAUGUUUAGUAUGUAAGUAGCAUUUCACAAUUUCAAAGCAAUAAACACCAAGAUACCAUGGUAAUGAGAGCUGACAAGGCACUAGCAUUAACUAAUUAAGCCUCACAACUUCCCUGGGGUAUCUAAAUACAACAACUCUCAUUUUAUAGAUGGGGAAAAUCUAUCUGAAUUGAUUUACUCCAAGGCACAGAGCAAUUCAGCGAAAGAGCCAGAACCACAGCUUGGCACUACCACUGCUUGGAUGGCUGCUCCAUCUUCUGUGAGGCUCUGUCUUAUUUCUAGAUAGGGUGACGCCUUAUCCUGUUCUUGGUCUCGGCUCUGGAGAGUGCUUUGACCAGUUCAGGUCCUGUAUUUCCAGCACCCGACAGCAGUUGCUUUGUGCAGCUCUGGGGAAGGUUCAGCAGGAUCGGUGCUUGCCAGCUUUGAAUCCAUCACCACAGGUGAGGUUGCUCUCUGGGGGACAAACCAAGUUGCAACCUGUGGUUUUCAGUUCUCGUAGACUAAGAGCAGAAAAUCUGUUGAGACCUAGGGCUCAGAUCUUUGGGUUUGACGUGCAGCUUGCAAAGCACGCAGGAGAGGAGCCUGCAAAGAGGAUGGUUUGCCACGGCAGGGCUGGCCAAAUUCCCAGCAGGCAGAUGCUUUUCAACCACCUAAGAGACGAUGUAAGCUGAAAGUGGCAGGAUGCUGCUAAUUUUCUGCCUAAGUCUACAGUGAUGUGUGUGACAGCUGUGGUGUUCCGCGCACCAUCCUCCUGCAGCUGCCUCGUACCGCUUUCCCGCUGCUACCCGGGGAACCUCAUGCCCUCAUUUUUGUGGCCUUGUGGGGAAACACCGUGGGUCUUCCCGUGCCCAGGCUGCGGACACCCGGUCAGGGAGCUUCAGCUGAAGGCCAUGAUAGGGGAAUGCCGGGAAGCCGUGUUUUUACACGACAUCCUUCUUGG